ACAUUAAACAUAUAUAUGCAAAUGUAUAGUUUUAUGGUUUUUUAAAGGAAAUAUGUGUAAACAUACAAUAUGUGUAAUUAGAUACGUUUCGAUAUAUGCUAUUUCUUGUACCAUUAUUUUAUAUUUCCAAAAAAUGGUUAAACACCAAUACCACUUAGGUUAAGCACACGAACAACAAUAAAAUUCAAACAUCGCAAAAAAUGCUCACAUCAACAUUACAAUACAAUAAUUUUAACCCAAAAAUAUGAAAACUUUCUAUUACUCAUACCAUAAAUUCAAAGCACUCAUGUAUCCACACAAACAUACAAUUCAGAA
rnacentral:lncRNA from 1 species